CAUUUAAAGAAAGCGUAAUAGCUCACUGGUCGAGUCGGCCUGCGCGGAAGAUGUAACGGGGCUAAACCAUGCACCGAAGCUGCGGCAGCGAACGUAUCACCCAAGACAACUUUACGGAGUUGACGAUUGACGGAGCGAAGCGACGUCAAAGCGUUCAUUAAAGUCGAGUUGGCUUAGGGAUACGUUCGUUGGGUAGGGGAGCGUUCUGUAAGCCUGUGAAGGUGUGUCGUGAGGCAUGCUGGAGGUAUCAGAAGUGCGAAUGCUGACAUAAGUAACGAUAAAGCGGGUGAAAAGCCCGCUCGCCGGAAGACCAAGGGUUCCUGUCCAACGUUAAUCGGGGCAGGGUGAGUCGACCCCUAAGGCGAGGCCGAAAGGCGUAGUCGAUGGGAAACGGGUUAAUAUUCCCGUACUUGGUGUUACUGCGAAGGGGGGACGGAGAAGGCUAUGUUGGCCGGGCGACGGUUGUCCCGGUUUAAGCGUGUAGGUGUGUGUUCCAGGUAAAUCCGGUUCACUUUAACACUGAGGCGUGACGACGAGGCACUACGGUGCUGAAGCAACAAAUGCCCUGCUUCCAGGAAAAGCCUCUAAGCAUCAGGUAACACGAAAUCGUACCCCAAACCGACACAGGUGGUCAGGUAGAGAAUACCAAGGCGCUUGAGAGAACUCGGGUGAAGGAACUAGGCAAAAUGGUGCCGUAACUUCGGGAGAAGGCACGCUGACACGUAGGUGAAGUGAUUUACUCAUGGAGCUGAAGUCAGUCGAAGAUACCAGCUGGCUGCAACUGUUUAUUAAAAACACAGCACUGUGCAAACACGAAAGUGGACGUAUACGGUGUGACGCCUGCCCGGUGCCGGAAGGUUAAUUGAUGGGGUCAGCGUAAGCGAAGCUCCUGAUCGAAGCCCCGGUAAACGGCGGCCGUAACUAUAACGGUCCUAAGGUAGCGAAAUUCCUUGUCGGGUAAGUUCCGACCUGCACGAAUGGCGUAAUGAUGGCCAGGCUGUCUCCACCCGAGACUCAGUGAAAUUGAACUCGCUGUGAAGAUGCAGUGUACCCGCGGCAAGACGGAAAGACCCCGUGAACCUUUACUAUAGCUUGACACUGAACAUUGAGCCUUGAUGUGUAGGAUAGGUGGGAGGCUUUGAAGUGUGGACGCCAGUCUGCAUGGAGCCGACCUUGAAAUACCACCCUUUAAUGUUUGAUGUUCUAACGUGGACCCGUAAUCCGGGUUGCGGACAGUGUCUGGUGGGUAGUUUGACUGGGGCGGUCUCCUCCUAAAGAGUAACGGAGGAGCACGAAGGUUGGCUAAUCCUGGUCGGACAUCAGGAGGUUAGUGCAAUGGCAUAAGCCAGCUUGACUGCGAGCGUGACGGCGCGAGCAGGUGCGAAAGCAGGUCAUAGUGAUCCGGUGGUUCUGAAUGGAAGGGCCAUCGCUCAACGGAUAAAAGGUACUCCGGGGAUAACAGGCUGAUACCGCCCAAGAGUUCAUAUCGACGGCGGUGUUUGGCACCUCGAUGUCGGCUCAUCACAUCCUGGGGCUGAAGUAGGUCCCAAGGGUAUGGCUGUUCGCCAUUUAAAGUGGUACGCGAGCUGGGUUUAGAACGUCGUGAGACAGUUCGGUCCCUAUCUGCCGUGGGCGCUGGAGAACUGAGGGGGGCUGCUCCUAGUACGAGAGGACCGGAGUGGACGCAUCACUGGUGUUCGGGUUGUCAUGCCAAUGGCACUGCCCGGUAGCUAAAUGCGGAAGAGAUAAGUGCUGAAAGCAUCUAAGCACGAAACUUGCCCCGAGAUGAGUUCUCCCUGAGACUUAGAGUCUCCUGAAGGAACGUUGAAGACGACGACGUUGAUAGGCCGGGUGUGUAAGCGCAGCGAUGCGUUGAGCUAACCGGUACUAAUGAACCGUGAGGCUUAACCUUACAACGCCGAAG
rnacentral:rRNA from 1 species